CGACUACAGUCAGAGUUUGAUCCUGGCUCAGGAUGAACGCUGGCGGCGUGCUUAACACAUGCAAGUCGAACGGAGAUGUUUCGCUGAAGCGAGCUUGCUCAAUUCUUGAAACAUCUUAGUGGCGGACGGGUGAGUAACGCGUGGGUAACCUGCCAUAUACAGGGGGAUAACACUUAGAAAUAGGUGCUAAUACCGCAUAAGCGCACAGUUUCGCAUGAAACAGUGUGAAAAACUCCGGUGGUAUAUGAUGGACCCGCGUCUGAUUAGCUAGUUGGUAAGGUAACGGCUUACCAAGGCGACGAUCAGUAGCCGGCCUGAGAGGGUGAACGGCCACAUUGGGACUGAGACACGGCCCAA
rnacentral:rRNA from 1 species